AUUGAACGCUGGCGGCAGGCCUAACACAUGCAAGUCGAGCGGAGCGGCGGACGGGUGAGUAAUGCCUAGGAAUCUGCAUGGUAGUGGGGGAUAACGUCAGGAACCGGGCGCUAAUACCGCAUACUAUCAGAUGAGCCUAGGUAGGAUUAGCUAGUUGGUGGGGGAAAGGCCUACCAAGGCGAAGAUCCGUAACUGGUCUGAGCGGAUGAUCAGUCACACUGGAACUUAGACACGGUCCAUACUCCUACGUGAGGGAGCAGUGGGGAAUAUUGGACAAGGGGCGAAAGCCUGAUCCAGCCAUGCCGCGUGUGUGAAGAAGGUCUUCGGAUUGUAAAGCACUUUAAGUUUGGAGGCGUUACCAACAGAAUAAGCACCGGCUAACUUCGUGCCAGCAGCCGCGGUAAUGC
rnacentral:rRNA from 1 species